ACUUUCUAAUCUUAUGUCAAGAUAAUUAACCUUACUGUAAUACAGAACUGUCUCAAUGAAUGAAUAUACUGAUGGAGUGAUUAAGUAUGUUUUGUUAUAAUGAAUUUGAUAGAAUGGUUCCUAGAAGCCGUAUUAUAUUACACCACAGUUCAAUGUAACAGUAGUUGCUCAAUAUGCAGAAAAUACUGACGUUUGUGUAAUCAUUGUAUGAUUCUUUUAUCUAUAAUCUCUUUUUUACCUCAGUUAUGUGCUUAUAAAUUUCCAGAAGUCUCCAGGAGUAAUAAGAAUAAUACUCUCUAACUGCCUCACAAUGCAACAGAAACACUUCAGUUCUUAAACAGAAGAAAUUGAAGGAUUUCUUGGAAUGCCCCGUGAAAUCCAGAGUGUGAAGAAAAUGGUGCUGUCAAACUGUUAAAAAUGGUUAUUUAUCCUCUUCCACAGCUGUCUCCUCAGUACAGAAAAGAUUUUACUGUGUUUGAUGUCAAAAUUCAGUGCUUGUCGUGGCCACAGUGUCUGCCAAAGCUACAAGAAACAUCUGCUCCAGUCGAGUGAGGCCUGGCAGACUUGAGUGCAUCAGGUGGCUUGAAAGAACACUAGCAUGUUCUCGGCCAAACAUGAUCUUCAGAGCCCUGAGGUAUUUUAGAAGUUUCUUCAGAAACAUAUGUGGCAUCUUGAUCUGCAGCAAGCAGCGCAUACAGUGGCAGUGGGGGAAUUGAGUCUAUCUCUGUGUAGUCUCGAGUACCGUCUUUUCCAGCUGUGAUGAUGAAUUGUCUGUUCCAAAACCCAUUCUGAUCCUCCUGUAGACUCACAUUCAAGUAUACAAACAUGCAUGGAAAAUUCUUUGGAAACAAACCCAUUAUGCUGUACGGGUUGUUUGUAUGCUACUGCAAGACGC